rnacentral:rRNA from 1 species
CAGCAGUGGGGAAUAUUGCACAAUGGGGGAAACCCUGAUGCAGCGACGCCGCGUGGAGGAAGAAGGUCUUCGGAUUGUAAACUCCUGUUGUUGAGGAAGAUAAUGACGGUACUCAACAAGGAAGUGACGGCUAACUACGUGCCAGCAGCCGCGGUAAAACGUAGGUCACAAGCGUUGUCCGGAAUUACUGGGUGUAAAGGGAGCGCAGGCGGGAAGACAAGUUGGAAGUGAAAUCCAUGGGCUCAACCCAUGAACUGCUUUCAAAACUGUUUUUCUUGAGUAGUGCAGAGGUAGGCGGAAUUCCCGGUGUAGCGGUGGAAUGCGUAGAUAUCGGGAGGAACACCAGUGGCGAAGGCGGCCUACUGGGCACCAACUGACGCUGAGGCUCGAAAGUGUGGGUAGCAAACAGGAUUAGAUACCCUGGUAGUCCACACCGUAAACGAUGAUUACUAGGUGUUGGAGGAUUGACCCCUUCAGUGCCGCAGUUAACACAAUAAGUAAUCCACCUGGGGAGUACGACCGCAAGGUUGAAACUCAAAGGAAUUGACGGGGGCCCGCACAAGCAGUGGAGUAUGUGGUUUAAUUCGACGCAACGCGAAGAACCUUACCAAGUCUUGACAUCCUGCGACGGUGCUGGAAACAGUACUUUCCUUCGGGACGCAGAGACAGGUGGUGCAUGGUUGUCGUCAGCUCGUGUCGUGAGAUGUUGGGUUAAGUCCCGCAACGAGCGCAACCCUUAUGGUCAGUUACUACGCAAGAGGACUCUGGCCAGACUGCCGUUGACAAAACGGAGGAAGGUGGGGAUGACGUCAAAUCAUCAUGCCCUUUAUGACUUGGGCUACACACGUACUACAAUGGCGUUAAACAAAGAGAAGCAAGACCGCGAGGUGGAGCAAAACUCAAAAACAACGUCUCAGUUCAGAUUGCAGGCUGCAACUCGCCUGCAUGAAGUCGGAAUUGCUAGUAAUCGCGGAUCAGCAUGCCGCGGUGAAUACGUUCCCGGGCCUUGUACACACCGCCCGUCACACCAUGAGAGCCGGGGGGACCCGAAGUCGGUAGUCUAACCGCAAGGAGGACGCCGCCGAAGGUAAAACUGGUGAUUGGGGUGAAGUCGUAACAAGGUAGCCGUAUCGGAAGGUGCGGCUG